CAAGGUCUCCGUAGGUGAACCUGCGGAGGGAUCAUUACACAAUAAAAUACGAAGGCCGUUCGCGGCUGGACUAUUUAUUACCCUUGUCUUUUGCGCACUUGUUGUUUCCUGGGCGGGUUCGCUCGCCACCAGGACCACAAUAUAAACCUUUUUUAUGCAGUUGCAAUCAGCGUCAGUAUAACAAAUGUAAAUCAUUUACAACUUUCAACAACGGAUCUCUUGGUUCUGGCAUCGAUGAAGAACGCAGCGAAAUGCGAUACGUAGUGUGAAUUGCAGAAUUCAGUGAAUCAUCGAAUCUUUGAACGCACAUUGCGCCCUUUGGUAUUCCAAAGGGCAUGCCUGUUCGAGCGUCAUUUGUACCCUCAAGCUUUGCUUGGUGUUGGGCGUUUUUGUCUUUGGCCCGCCAAAGACUCGCCUUAAAAUGAUUGGCAGCCGGCCUACUGGUUUCGCAGCGCAGCACAUUUUUGCGCUUGCAAUCAGCAAAAGAGGACGGCAAUCCAUCAAGACUCCUUCUCACGUUUGACCUCGGAUCAGGUAGG
rnacentral:sRNA from 1 species